CGGUCUGCAAUGGCCCUACCACCUUUUGAACAACAAGAAAACAUUGAAACGGUGGUAAAAAGCAGCAAGUUUCGAAGUCUAAACGAAAGAUGGGUGGUCAUUAUCCAUUACUUUUGGAAGUCGAUGCUGAUGAGAAAGAAAAAAUGUUUAUGAUUAUUUCUUCUCUCGAACAUUUUACUAUUUAGGUACCAAAUAAUCUUGAUACUGAAGAUCAUUGCAUCCAUUAUGAAAAAAUUACCCUUGAUUGCUUUGUCAACUGGAAUGUAUAAUGUAAUAUACCUUGUGAUUUGUGGGAUUUUCACAAGUAAACUAGAAAUACUUGAAGAGGGUGAUGAUGUACUUAAUGCAGAGCAUUUGGUACAAAGUCUGCUUUGCUGUAAUCUACCUGAAGGUGCUUUUUAUAUGCUAGUAAGACUUGCACAGCCCAGUCAAAAUGUUUUUGAGUAGUAGAAAAGCUGGCCAAACCUCUUCCUGAAAAGCAGUCUGAAAAAUGUGAAGUUAGCGGAAGGUACUUCAUUGUAGGCGGCCAAAUUGUAAGCUGCCAGCCCAUUUUGAGUGAGCAGUAAAACUCAAGAUUGGCUAUUUUAGCUAAUUUUAUUGAGAACCAAAUUCCCAGCAACGGGCACAAUUUUACUGGGCUAUUUGUUAUUUAACUACUUAGUAAUAUUCUUAUUAAAAUUUACUGCAUUCCUUUCUAAUAAUUUGCUGCUGAUUGUAUGCUGUAUAUAGCUUAUGAUUUGUGUGAUUUUCACAAGUAAAUUAGAAAUACCUGAAGAUGGUAAUGAUGUACUAGAUAAUGUACUUGAUGCAAAGCUAUUUUGGUGCAAAGUGUGUGCCUUGUCCGUAGGUGAUUUUGCAUGCUAAUAAGACUUGUAAUUCAAAUAAUACACAUCAGCUGGAGUGGGAAUAUUAAAAGAAAAAUAAUAAUAUUUAGCUAUACCAAGUUCUGGUUUUAUGUCCAAAGUGUGUGCCUUGUCCGUAGGUGAUUUUGCAUGCUAAUAAGACUUGUAAUUCAAAUAAUACACAUCAGCUGGAGUGGGAAUAUUAAAAGAAAAAUAAUAAUAUUUAGCUAUACCAAGUUCUGGUUUUAUGUCCAAAUUAAGCACUUAGUUGAAGAUCACUGCACUGCUCAGGUCCAGAAGGCUGAAAGAGUACUGUCUGCUGUUAGUUUGAUUUUUGUCAUUUCUAUUGAUUUAUUUUAUUUAUCAAUGUUUCUUUGAAUUGUAAUUCAUUGAUCUCUUUCAAUAGUGCAGGUUCGCUCAUGUAACCUAAUCUCCCACUUAUGUAUGUAUGUAUGGAUGAGCUCAGUCAAAAUGUUUUUGAGUGGAAGGCAAGCUGGUGAUAGUAAUAGGCAGCAGAGGCUGAACCUUGUCUUGAAUGGAAGUGUGAAAAGUGUGAAGUUAGCGGCAGCUAUAUUGUGGCAGGCAGCCAAAUUGUCAGCUGUGGCACAUUUUGACUGGGCUGAUUGUGUGUAGUAUAUAUGUGCACUUCUUUUAGGGUGUUAAACAGGUUAAAGUACCAAGAAAUCCUCUGUGAUAACUUGAUAAUUCAAGAUGUAAAAAUUUUAAAUAAUAAGGUAAAGCUUGAUCAUUCUUAA